GAACGCUGGCGGCGUGCCUAAUACAUGCAAGUCGAGCGCAGGAAACUGACGGAACUCUUCGGAGGGAAGGCAGCGGAAUGAGCGGCGGACGGGUGAGUAACACGUAAGGAACCUGCCUCAAGGAUUGGGAUAACUCCGAGAAAUCGGAGCUAAUACCGGAUAGUUCAUCGGACCGCAUGGUCCGUUGAUGAAAGGCGCUUCGGCGUCACCUUGAGAUGGCCUUGCGGUGCAUUAGCUAGUUGGUGGGGUAACGGCCCACCAAGGCGACGAUGCAUAGCCGACCUGAGAGGGUGAUCGGCUCACA
rnacentral:rRNA from 1 species